AUCACCAUUUUGAAAACAAACGGAGCAGACUCUCAGAUGAAGACGAACCCGCGACACGCGAUCUCUAGCCCGCAACCCUCGAGUCCUCAACCGCGACCUCGAGCCCGCUGCUCUCACCUCUCUCAGUUCUCUGCCCUUCGAAGCUGUCUCAGUCUCCCCUUUCUCAUGCUCGUAGCCGCCUCAGCCUCCCUUGUUUCAUGGUCGCAACCGCCUCAUCACCUCUCUCUCAUGCUCGUAGGCCUCCCCUCACAACUCAAGUCGAUUUCAGCAAGGCUCUUUCAGUUGGUUGAGCAAGGCUCUUAAGAUGAGGGUGCUGAGCUCUGUUGUGGUCGGCUAUGGCGGAUUCUUGAUCUGAGUUUAGCUCUUGCUUGUGACUUGGGAGAAGGCUCUGUCUACUCUGCUUCAGAUUUGGUCACUGGAGUUUUCUGUCUUCUGGGUUUUUCCUGUGAAUCUUAUGCUUUAGAUAUAUUCAGUAAAAAAUAGAUAUAUUCUUGACAUUUGAGGUUAAGCCAUGGUGAGCUUCGCUGUUGGUCUUCCAUGGCGGAUUUCAGGUAGGUUCAUGCUCGUCUCAGGUGGCACCCUUUUGCUUGAGUUUGCUUUGUUCUUAGGUUCAGUGGCUGCAGUGGAAUAUGUUGCUGAAAUCUUGUCCUUUUUCAUAGACGGGUCCUGUGCAUUGUUAUCGGCACUUCGAUACAACGAUAAAUCUUGAUUUUGAUGUAUAUGGUGAUUUUGCUGAGAAAACAUGGUUUUACAUUCCAAUGUGGGUUUCGAGGCAUUUGAUCUUAGUCGCCACACAACAACCCUAUGUUUGAAAUUCCAUCAUUUGGUUCCCUUUUGCCCGUGCUUGCACUUCUCAAGCGGAAUUAUAUGCAAUUGCUUAGCAAAGUUGGGUUUUUUUCUGCUUGAUCUCUGAACAGAGCCGAGUGCGUAGUUGGUUGCCUUGCCUUCACAGGGUUUUCGUUCCAUUUGUGCUGCCAUUGUUGUUAUUGUUGAUUUCAGUUGUUGCCUUGUGUUUUGUGGAAAAAUUUCGGUCAAGUUAACUGUGUUGUAUUCCGUAUGUCUUAGCUUUGGAGUCGCUCGUUCAAUCAAUUCGAGCUCUUCCUUUCUGGCGUGUUUUGUUUUCAAAUGCUGGUGUUGUUUCUUUCUACUGGAUCGGAUUAUCUCAUAUGUAUUCUGAUGAAUGCUGAUCAAGAAAUAAAAGCCUUUGUCAUAA